GGUCCCCACCUCCUCGAGGCUGUGAGCGGUGAGUGGUGACAGCAGGAGCAGGGGGAGGAAGAGGGCAGGGAGGAGGUGGCCAGCCUGGAGCGGGGAGAGAGCAGGGCCGAGUGGGGAGCUGAAUGGCAUUGCUGUGGGCAGAGUGUGCAGGAACCGGAGGGGCGAGGAGAAGGCGACGGAGGGGUGGCAGCAAGAGCUGGUCACGUGAGGCCCUGCCGGCUGGAUGAGGAAGUGUGGCUUCCUGCUACCUGGGAUGUGAGUGUGAAGGCUGCUCUCCAGCCACCACCUGGGCCCAUGAGGAGGAUGGGAUGAGCUGGAAGGAGCCUGGGCCCGUGAGGACUGGGUGGUGGGGAGCCAGGGACAGGUUUUCUGCAGAGCAGGGGGACAGUCAGGUUUGUACCUGGGAGAGGACAGGUGUGUGCAGGAUGAGCGGGGGGCCAGGUGGAAGCCGGCAGGGUGCAGCCUGAAUAAAGGCGGGCGGAAGGGUGCGGACGGGGCUGAGAUGUCUCUGGAUGGCGGACGGACGCGCCAGGACUGGGAAACGGCUGCUGGGCCGCGCC